rnacentral:lncRNA from 1 species
GUGCCAGCCCUCCUGGGGGCACUGGACAGGUCUCACCAUUUCUCUGCCAUCAUUUGCAUGGUGUGAUUCUCCCUUGAGCAGAGAGGGCAGAAAAUGAGGCAAGAGGGGGAGCUCAUUUUGUUUCUGCAAACUCCAGGCUUGGGGCAGCUGCAGAGCUCUUUGGGUUCAAAUAAUCCUGCCCAAAUACAUCAGCUUGGACCUCUCCUGAGCACUUUUGGAUCCCUCUGUGCCACUCCUCCUCUGAUCUUUUACCUGCGAGGUGUGGGCUCAGAAACAUCUGCCUACUGGAUGGGUUUUUACAUGUACAAAUUUAUUUUCUUAGAAAAGCCAUCAGGGGUAAUGAAAAUCUGUGGAGAACAGGUGGUUGGUACACCAGGUGAUGGUAGGUCUUGGGCUUUUCUUCUUCUUCUCUUUUUCUUUUCUUUAACCUGCUCUUCAGAGGACUCCUAAACUGGAAAACUGAAAGUUUGGGGCAGGGGGGAAAGUUGCUUUUCAUUUUUUAAGUGUUGCUGUGGGUUUUGGUAUGUAUAUAUUAUAUAUUAAAUAUAUAUUUAAGUGACCCUACCGAAACAGAAUUGGAAUAACUGAACUUCAGGACUCUGCACUUAAUUCUUUUAAUGCGUUUGUGUGGGUGCAGGCAAUGCCAAAUCCCAGAGCAAUUCUGUGUCUGUAACAUUCAGUGCAACAUCUUUAAAACCAAGUGCUCAGGGUGGGCUUUUCACGUGGAUGCAAACGGUCUCAAAGCCUUUCCUGUGCCCCAAAAGCCAGAAGGAGGCUGCCAGGAGCAGGCCUUCACUGCCUGUCUGGGAUUUCAGUUUGCUGCCGGAGUCUUCCCUCCAGUCUUCUCUCGGGUUUUUGUGCCAGAGGGGAUCUGACCCCGCAGCCACACAGGGCCUCUGUUGCCUUGGACAGGAGAAAUCAUUAAACUCCUCCCAUCUUUGCCAGAAGCUUCAGUGUUUAAGCAGCCAGAGCCAAGAGGCUUCAGCACCAGGGGUGUGCCCUGGAGGGCUCCUGGUCCUGCCCACGCUGUGGGGUAAGUCAGAGGGACACAGGGUUCCCCUUUUCCUCCCUGCUGGAAUGAACUGCCUCGGGAAUGCCAUUUCUGACAGCCCGGCCCCAGCCCUGUGUGCCGGGAAAGGGCAGCAGGGAAGAGGCACAUAAAUGCCAGAGUUCCUUGGGGAUGGUGGAGCUGGGCUGUUUGGCUGUGCCCAGAGGGGCAGGCUGGGCACUGUUUGUGCCCCCCAGGGCUGCUCUGGGUUCGGGAGCCCGGGGAGCCGAGCUCCCGGCGCAUUCCCAGCUCUGCGGCUGCUGCAGGGCCGGGUGACAGCCUCUGCUGGGGCUGGGGCAGAGCUGCAGGGGCAGGGCUGGCAGGAGGUGGGAGCAGAGGAGGAAAAUGAGGAACGCUGCUGGGCAGGGCUCAGCCUGUGCUCGUGUCAGCGCAGCCGUGCCGGGCGCCGGGAUCUGGGCACAGCUCCAGCUCUCCUGGGGCUCGGGGCUGCAAGGCCAGAGGGACUGGGAUUAUCUGUGGCUUCCCAGGCCGCCAGGAACACGGGAAUGUGGUGCCAGAG